rnacentral:rRNA from 1 species
GACGAACGCUGGCGGCGUGCCUAAUACAUGCAAGUCGAACGAGUGGCGGACGGGUGAGUAACACGUGGGAACCUACCCAUCAGAGGGGGAUAACACUUGGAAACAGGUGCUAAUACCGCAUACUGAUGGAUGGACCCGCGGUGCAUUAGCUAGUUGGUGGGGUAAAGGCCUACCAAGGCGACGAUCCGUAACUGGUCUGAGAGGAUGAUCAGUCACACUGGAACUGAGACACGGUCCAGACUCCUACGGGAGGCAGCAGUGGGGAAUAUUGGACAAUGGGCGAAAGCCUGAUCCAGCCAUGCCGCGUGUGUGAAGAAGGUCUUCGGAUUGUAAAGCACUUUAAGUUGGGAGGCGUUACCAACAGAAUAAGCACCGGCUAACUUCGUGCCAGCAGCCGCGGUAAUUC